AGGAGCGUAGCUCAAUUUGGUAGAGCAGCGGUUUCCAAAACCGCCGGUUGGGGGUUCGAGUCCCUCCGCUCCUG
rnacentral:tRNA from 3 species